GACCAGGGAUGCCAUCCCCCGAACACCGUCCAGAGGGCAGCGCUGAACCAAUGCCUAAUCCCUUUCCAGCCACCCCUCCAACCAGGGGGAGGGAGACCUAAGGGAGGACAGGACUCCCAGGACCAAGCCUGGAGUGGCUGAAGAAAUUGUAACCACCUCCAUUGACAGGAAGCCCCUUCAUGGCUCCCAAAAGAGAUGUGAAUCCUGUCCUAAAGUGUCAUAACUGCUAAUGUUAUGUUAUGCUAAUGACCUACUCCAUCAGUACCAUUAAAAACAACAACAAAAACAGGUUUACAAACCUGAGAUCAAACAAACAAAAUCCAACAACAACAAACCAAGUGGCAGUCGGAGAGAUGGCUAUGAGGUUAAGAGCAUUGACUGCUCUUCCAGAGGUUCUGAGCUUAACACCCAGCAACCACAUGGUAGUUCACAAGCAUCUGUAAUGGGAUCAAUUUGAUUGCUUCUUUUGGUGGGUCUGAAGAUCCCACUGUAUUCAUGUACAU
ensembl:processed_transcript